GACGAACCGUGCGAACGUUGUUCGGAUUCACUGGGCUUAAAGGGCGCGUAGGCGGGCGGUCAAGUCGGGGGUGAAAUCUUUCAGCUCAACUGGAAAAGUGCCUUCGAUACUGACUGUCUUGAGCGAGGUAGGGGCAUGUGGAACUUCCGGUGGAGCGGUGAAAUGCGUAGAUAUCGGAAGGAACGCCGGUGGCGAAAGCGACGUGCUGGACCUCUUCUGACGCUGAGGCGCGAAAGCUAGGGGAGCAAACGGG
rnacentral:rRNA from 1 species